GUGAAACAUUUAAAGCUCUCAAAUCAUUUGUUGUUGCCACACUACAGAGGAGUUGUUACCAAUUGGAAGUAAUAUGAAGCUCCAUGUUUCUCUUUUUUCUGGGAACAGUGCCAAUUGGACUGUUGAUUAUGGAUGUUUAAUGCUAGUUUUUUUUCUCUUAUCGUGAAGAUUGAAGACUGGUUUGAGUUCUUUGAUCUACUCUUUGUUUCCUUGGUAGUGAUUCGCCUUAUUGGCUUUGCUGGAUUUCUGCUGUACCUUGAGCAAGUUAUCUUUGCUUGCUUUGUCGAGUGGUUAGUUGGUUUUUGAUGUGCUAUCUCAUCUUGAGCACAACAUUGGUAUUGAUGCUUUACUCUCUAGCCAUCAACCAUGCUACUUGAUCUUUCUCCUUGAUUUGUUGGUCCUUAGAUGAGCUAAUUACCUUUAGCACAACUUGAGUAUUGAUGCUUCACUUUAUAGACAUCAGACCUCUUUUGACGUUCUCUUUUUUGCUUCUGUCAUAAGUGUUUGGUACUUUUGAUGGUUAAGCUU
rnacentral:lncRNA from 1 species